UACGUAGGGGGCAAGCGUUGUCCGGAAUCAUUGGGCGUAAAGCGCGCGUAGGCGGCCCGGUAAGUCCGUUGUGAAAGUCAAAGGCUCAACCUUUGAACGCCGAUGGAUACUGCCGGGCUAGAGUCCGGAAGAGGCGAGUGGAAUUCCUGGUGUAGCGGUGGAAUGGCGCAGAUAUCGGGAAGAACACCCGUGGCGAAGGCGGUUCUCUGGGACGGUACUGACGCUGAGACGGCGAAAGCGUGGGGAGCGAACAGG
rnacentral:rRNA from 1 species